GUGGGGAAUCUUCCGCAAUGGACGAAAGUCUGACGGAGCGACGCCGCGUGAGUGAAGAAGGCCUUCGGGUCGUAAAGCUCUGUCAUCAGGGACGAACGGCCGGUGGAGUGGAAAGCCACCGGAUUGACGGUACCUGAGAAGGAAGCCACGGCUAACUACGUGCCAGCAGCCGCGGUAAUACGUAGGUGGCAAGCGUUGUCCGGAAUUAUUGGGCGUAAAGCGCGCGCAGGUGGGAUCUUAAGUCCAUUUUUAAAGUUCGGAGCUCAACUCCGUGAUGGGAUGGAAACUGGGAUUCUUGAGUACCGGAGAGGAAAGCGGAAUUCCCCGUGUAGCGGUGAAAUGCGUAGAUAUGGGGAGGAACACCAGUGGCGAAGGCGGCUUUCUGGACGAAAACUGACGCUGAGGCGCGAAAGCCAGGGGAGCGAACGGGAUUAGAAACCCUGGUAGUCC
rnacentral:rRNA from 1 species